UAGGGAAUCUUCGGCAAUGGGGGGAACCCUGACCGAGCAACGCCGCGUGAGUGAAGAAGGUUUUCGGAUCGUAAAGCUCUGUUGUUAAGGAAGAACGAGUGUGAGAAUGGAAAGUUCAUACUGUGACGGUACUUAACCAGAAAGGGACGGCUAACUACGUGCCAGCAGCCGCGGUAAUACGUAGGUCCCGAGCGUUGUCCGGAUUUAUUGGGCGUAAAGCGAGCGCAGGCGGUUAGAAAAGUCUGAAGUGAAAGGCAGUGGCUCAACCAUUGUAGGCUUUGGAAACUGUUUAACUUGAGUGGAGAAGGGGAGAGUGGAAUUCCAUGUGUAGCGGUGAAAUGCGUAGAUAUAUGGAGGAACACCAGUGGCGAAGGCGACUCUCUGGUCUGUAACUGACGCUGAGGCUCAAAAGCGUGGGUAGCAAACAGG
rnacentral:rRNA from 1 species